rnacentral:rRNA from 1 species
AGUGAACGCUGGCGGUAGGCCUAACACAUGCAAGUCGAACGGCAGCACAGUAAGAGCUUGCUCUUACGGGUGGCGAGUGGCGGACGGGUGAGGAAUACAUCGGAAUCUACUUUUUCGUGGGGGAUAACGUAGGGAAACUUACGCUAAUACCGCAUACGACCUACGGGUGAAAGCAGGGGAUCUUCGGACCUUGCGCGAUUGAAUGAGCCGAUGUCGGAUUAGCUAGUUGGCGGGGUAAAGGCCCACCAAGGCGACGAUCCGUAGCUGGUCUGAGAGGAUGAUCAGCCACCCUGGAACUGAGACACGGUCCAGACUCCUACGGUAGGCAGCAGUGGGGAAUAUUGCACAAUGGGCGCAAGCCUGAUCCAGCCAUACCGCGUGGGUGAAGAAGGCCUUCGGGUUGUAAAGCCCUUUUGUUGGGAAAGAAAAGCAGCAGGUUAAUCCCCCGCUGUUCUGACGGUACCCAAAGAAUAAGCACCGGCUAACUUCGUG